GCAUGCCCGGCAGAGAGAGGUUCCUGAGGAGCGUCCUUAAUUAGGUCUAUAUCAGAUGUAAUGUCCUAGAAGAACCUGGAAACCACAAAGAGUUCCUAUGAAAACAAGAGAGGGCAGUUUGGCAAUAUGAAUCGACUGAGAAGUAACUCGCUGAUAAAAAGAAAACAGAAAACAUUAACGACAGGAUGAAUGGUACAAGGCUGCUAAGAUCUUAAUGAAGAGUGGAAACAGCUACCUGGAGAAUAACAGAGGGCAUUAAAGAACCAGCACCUACACAGCCAUGGAGAUGACAGGAGUCGGGCACUGCUGACCAGCAAGGGUGCAGUGAGGCAGGAAACCACAGUGAGUAGCUUCUCCCUUGGCCAACACCAGGGGGAAUGGACUCAUGCACGGAGAGGAGGCAGCAAUGGAAAUCCAACGAAUAUGGCCAUGGUCGGGGUGUUCCUGAAGCGGCCCCUCCCGAAGUCAGCUCUUAGCAAAUCAAGAUUCAAGUCCACAGGGCUUAUCUGUCAACUCCUUGAAAGCAGAAACAGCGGCCCAACACACAGAAGGUGCUCAAUAAAUAUUUGCUGAAUACAUAAAA